UGUCACGGCCAUACCACCCUGAACGCGCCCGAUCUCGCCUGAUCUCGGAAGCUAACAGGGUCGGGCCUGGUUAGUACUGGAUGGGAGACCGCCUGGGAAUACCGGGUGCUGUAGGCU
rnacentral:rRNA from 1 species